rnacentral:piRNA from 1 species
GACAAGGCCACAAUCGAUGGGUGCUCA